UACGUAGGGGGCGAGCGUUGUCCGGAGUUACUGGGCGUAAAGCGCACGCAGGCGGUCUGCUAAGUUUGGAGUGACAGUUGGUGGCUUAACUGCCAAAGUGCUUCGAAAACUGACAGACUUGAGGGCUUCAGAGGGACACGGAAUUCCGGGUGGAGUGGUGAAAUGCGUAGAGAUCCGGAGGAACACCAAAGGCGAAGGCACCAUCCUGGGGAGUCACUGACGCUCGGGUGCGAAAGCUAGGGGAGCGAACGGG
rnacentral:rRNA from 1 species